rfam:Ktedonobacter racemifer DSM 44963 strain SOSP1-21 Krac_Contig205, whole genome shotgun sequence.
GUCAUGUACCCCCGCAUCGAAUGCGGGGGCUUGCGAGGGGCGCUCGCGCCGUUCGCAGGCCCGAGACAUGAGCAGACUCAGCCAGGGGAGGAGCAUGCUCCUCCCAUCGGGCUCCGUUGCAAGCGAAUGCGGCACAGCCGAUGUCCAUAGGCACGUUCAGGUGCUUCACCAGCCUGAACCUCUGCGGGGAAGCGUUAAAAGGUGUAGAGGGAGAAGCCAGUGCGCUUUCCAACAAACCGCUUGCACACGUUGUCGAGGUGAGCUUUAC